rnacentral:rRNA from 1 species
GACAGAGGGUGCAAACGUUGUUCGGAAUUACUGGGCGUAAAGCGCGUGUAGGCUGUUCGGGAAGUCGGAUGUGAAAGCCCUGGGCUCAACCUAGGAACUGCAUUUGAGACUGCUCCGCUCGGGUGCGGAAGAGGGAAGCGGAAUUUCCGGUGUAGCGGUGAAAUGCGUAGAGAUCAGGAGGAAUACCGGUGGCGAAAGCGACUCUCUGGACGGCAACUGACGCUGAAGCACGAAAGCGUGGGGAGCAAACAGG